UACGUAGGGGGCGAGCGUUGUCCGGAUUUAUUGGGCGUAAAGAGCGUGUAGGCGGCCAGGUAGGUCUGCUGUGAAAACUCGAGGUUCAACCUCGAGACGUCGGCGGAAACCAUCUGGCUAGAGUCCGGAAGAGGAGAGUGGAAGUUACCUCGGUGUAGCGGUGAAAUGCGCAGAUAUCAGGAAGAACACCCGUGGCGAAGGCGGCUCUCUGGGACGGUACUGACGCUGAGACGCGAAAGCGUGGGGAGCGAACAGG
rnacentral:rRNA from 1 species